CGCUGAGAGCCGAGCUGCCGCUUCUGGCCGUGGGCUUUCAGAUCUGGCUUUACCCCAGGAGGGCUCGGGUGGAGAGCGAGUGGUCUCCUGUCUCUUGCCGACCCCCUCCGGCUAGGAGCGAGCGGCGGCCUCCUAGCUGGGCGCAUUGGCGUUCGGGGGAGCUCGCUCGGGGAGCGCCGGCGGCACUCGGGCCUCUCCCUCAGCUGUCAUUUUGGCGGCUUUUCACUUCAGGAGGUUUCAGCCUCGACCAAGUUCCGGAGCCGGAUUGAAGAAUGACUCGUGCACGCGGAAUGGGUGACAGCGUCAGCACUGCACUUUAUUGGUGAGCUGCUUUGUGUUGGUCCAGGACUGGCCGUGAACUUGGCUGUGGCCUGUGUCUUUAAGCACAGACGUGCUUUGCACUACGUGGUUGACACUCCGCCGCGCUCGGGCUUCGGAGCUGUUGGCCUUAGGGACUGGUGGGGUGUACCCAAGUGAUUAAGCCCCUUUCUGCACGGACUACCUACAGGACAGACAACUCGGGGUGUCCUGGUUUGCUACCAUGAAUUUUAAAUGGUACUUACAAAUUAUCAUUUAAAUGUAGUGAUACUGCGUCCGGGCAAUGGUGCGCACACCUGUAAUCCCAGCUUUUCCGGAGGCAGAGGCCGGCCAGCUUCGGCAAUUUAGCGAGACCAAAAAACAAACAACAACAACAACAACAACGGGGGUGUAGCGCGGUGGUAGAGAUCCCUGGGUUCAAUCCCUAGUACCGCAGAAAUAAA
rnacentral:lncRNA from 1 species